AGCAGCCGCGGUAAUUCCAGCUCCAAUAGCGUAUAUUAAAGUUGUUGCAGUUAAAAGCUCGUAGUUGAAUUUCGGGGUUAGUAGGUUGGUCAUGCCUCUGGUAUGUACUGGUCUCACUGAUUCCUCCUUCCUGAUGAACCUUAAUGCCAUUAAUUUGGUGUUUUGGGGAAUUUGGACUGUUACUUUGGAAAAAUUAGAGUGUUUAAAGCAAGCUAACGCUUGAAUACAUUAGCAUGGAAUAAUGAAAUAGGACGUUCGAUCCUAUUUUGUUGGUUUCUAGGAUUGACGUAAUGAUUAAUAGGGAUAGUUGGGGGCAUUAGUAUUCAAUUGUCAGAGGUGAAAUUCUUGGAUUUAUUGAAGACUAACUACUGCGAAAGCAUUUGCCAAGGAUGUUUUCAUUAAUCAAGAACGAAAGUUAGGGGAUCGAAGACGAUCAGAUACCGUCGUAGUCUUAACCAUAAACUAUGCCGACUAGGGGAUCGGGAUGAUGUUAAUUUUUUAAUGACUCAUUCGGCGCCUU
rnacentral:misc_RNA from 1 species